UACGGGGGGGGCAAGCGUUGUUCGGAUUCAUUGGGCGUAAAGGGUGUGUAGGUGGCGCGCUAAGUCGGGUGUGAAAUUUCGGAGCUUAACUCCCGAAACUGCAUUCGAUACUGGCGUGCUUGAGGACUGGAGAGGAGACUGGAAUUCAUGGUGUAGCAGUGAAAUGCGUAGAGAUCAUGAGGAAGACCAGUGGCGAAGGCGGGUCUCUGGACAGUUCCUGACACUGAGACACGAAGGCCAGGGGAGCAAACGGG
rnacentral:rRNA from 1 species